AAUCUUGGCAACAGCAGGUCGCAAUAUUAUAUAUAUAUAUAUAUAUCUGGAUGAAGUUUGGAACAGCUCAAAGGGUAUUUCAACUUCGGUAGCCCGGUGAAAGGUCUUUCUGCAGCUUCCUGAUGCUGUUGCCAAAGAAAGCGGCGGAAAUUAAUUAAGAAAACAUUGGAUUUGCAGGCAGCGCGAGGGACGCAACGCGUUGAGGUUGUCCGUCAAACCGAAGAAACCAGCCCGCGGGCAGCGCGUUGCCCUUUGCCCCGCGUCCGCAACUGAAUGUCCCAUAACGAAGGUUCAUUUUUAUUGCAUAUUUCGAUUUCGUGACCCUUUACAAUUGGGCUUAAUUGUGUUUGACUGGCUGGCGGUCACCAAACCUAGAACAACAUCUCUUCACCAAUGGCAUUUUAUAUGUUAUAAGCACUACGAUUUCCAGUUUUUUAUGAUGUCAUAUAGUUUUCCGAUGUUAUAGAUGCUGCUCUUAUAGUUGGACGAUUGCAAAAACCCGACUACGAAUGCAAAUUAUUUUUGUAGGUUCGAUUGGUUCUUGCAUCUGAGUUUCCACACCUGUAAACAAUUUAUUUUUAAUGCUGAAUAUUAGUCAACAUUUUUUUUUUCUUAAUAUUUAAAGUAAUAUACGAUUUUUUUCGGCCUUCAGCUUGGCUGUUUUUUCGGUUUGAUUUAAGGCUCAGUUUAUAGUUAAAUAUAAUUUCAAAUUUUACAAAAUGGCUGUAUUUUAGUUUUAAGAUAUAUUAAUCUAUAUAAAGAGCGUAAUCUAUGAAGGGAUACUAACCCCGAUUAUAAAAGACUUUCAACUGAGAUCGUUCAAUAUUUGUAGUCUAUAAUAAAUGAUACUCUUCCAUAUCUAUA